UUACCAAACCAACUUUGGUGGAGUUACCGCUUUGACCAGAGAACAGUUUCAAAAAGUGAAUGGUUUUCCAAACGUGUACUGGGGUUGGGGUGGGGAAGAUGAUGACCUUUACACAAGGGUUCGGCUGCAGAAUAUGACGAUUGUGCGGCCGCCUGCUGAUGUAGCCCGCUAUACCAUGAUGUUUCACAAGGGAGACCCUGGCAAUGAGAAAAACCCAAAUAGGUGGAACCUCUUGGGACAAACAUCUUCUUUGAUGAAAACGGAUGGAAUCAACACCUGCUCAUAUACAACUCUGUCAGUUGAAAGAUGGCCGCUUUAUGUAAAUGUUACUGUGGACAUCGGGAAGCCGUAGAGCUGACCUCUCAAUACAAAACCCUUUUAUUGACCAGAACAAAGUUUUAUAUUUUAUGAAGUCCAAGCCUUUGAGUGCACAAAAAAGCUGUCACAAUCUGAUAUAUAAAACUCACACAAUGCACAUUUUCUUUAUUUAGGUCUUCAAGGUUAAAUCUGAAAUUUUCAAUUCAAUUCAAUUUUAUUUAUAUAGCGUCUAAUACAACAGAGUUGUCUCUAGACGCUUUACAGAGACCCAUACCCAGAACAUGACCCCCGAGCAGUUAUUACAUAAACAAUGGCAGGUAAAAACUCCCCUAGUGGGAGAAAAACCUUAAGCCAAACAGUGGCAAGGAAAAACUCCCCUUUAGGAGGGAAGAAACCUUGAGCAGGACCAGGCUCAUAAGGGGGGACCCUCCUGCCGAGGGCCAGACUGGUGGGUCAGGGACGGCAACAGCACAGCAGGCAGGUGGAAGCAGCAACGGGAUGACCAGGGGUGGGGACCGCAGGCCAGCACGAAAUUCAACAUUUUAGUUCACCUCCACUUCUGGUUUCCACCUUAAAGGGAAAAUGUUUAUACUGUGGAUACGGAAAGUAUUCAGACUCCUUUAAAUUUCCCCCUCUCCGUUUCAUUGCAGCGAUUUGCUAAAAUCAAGUUCAUUUUUUAUUUCUCAUUAAUGCAGACUCAGAACCCCAUCUUUACAGAAAAAAGCAGAAAUGUAGAAAUUUCUUACGAGUGUUUCAUUAGCCUGAAAUAUUGACCAUAAACGGCAUCAAUCAGUAAUCGGCUUUACUGUUGUCUAAAAAUUCACAUUGGCCAUGGAAAACCUUUAAUAAUGACCAAGAAAAGUUAUUGAGUACACAAUCUGAACAAUUAUUGUGAUCAAUUUGUCAUUGAAAGUAAUGAGUUGUUGGGAUGAAGAGUUUAGGAUCACUUGGCAAAGAUGCAAAGUCAUAGUCUUAAGCAUGUUUACAUUAGUGUGGGAUGAUCUUUUAUGUUUUGAUAUUCGUGGAGGACCAGACUGGUGGGUUAUCUUCCUCUCGGCCCACCAUAUUGACUUGUUUCUUCCACAGAAGAGACAAAUGAAACGCUUGUUCAGUUGGGGCGCCUUGAACAGUUUCAGUAGUCAGAGAAGUUUCUCCUGCAUGACUGGAGGUGGAAGAUGCAUCAGGUGGUUAAGCAAUGGGAUAUGGCAAAAUUGAUGGAAGAGCAACAGGCUGGGAGACAUGCUAUGGGAAGAGGGAAAUAGUGGAUUUCUUUUUGUAACAGGGUUUUUCCUCUUAAGAACAUCUAUAAUAAAUGCUAAAUUGUUCUUAUAAGCUGUCUUGUGACUUUAUGUGGUAUUGUUCUGCUUGUUCCACAAUAUCAUCAGGAAAUUAAUACAUUAUCUGUCUCAGUCAGCACUGGCAGCAAUCAUCUAUGCCAGUAUAAAUCUGUAUCUUAUUCUAAACUGUAUCUCUGCUUUAGUCCUGCAAUUCACUUA